UGAUCUCAACAUAAAGUGUGACACUUAGAAAGUAAAUGCUUUCUACAUUGGACAAUCUUAUGCAUGAAGACACUGCUGGAUUUGGCACUUUGCUUAAUUGUUUUUCUUACUAAAAAGAAUACGUGUUUCCUGAAAUACAGUAUAAACGGUAAGAGAUAACAUGAGCCACUGCGACACUCAAUUUAACAGUUCAGACAUGCAUCCCAAAACAC